UUUAUCGGUGGUAAAUAGAAAAAUAAUAUUUCAACUCAAAUAUCACUGUGCAUUUACUUUUUAAAAUACUAAAUAGAAUUUUAAAAAAACCACCUGAAAAGUUUUCUAUUGUUCUCAAAAUAAAAGGCAUAUGAAGCCGCACCUUUUAAUAUUCGUUCAUCAAAAACUUGUAUAAGAGGCACACACAGACGGUGCCCGGAUGCUUUGUUUCUGAGGCAAGUGCGCGACCACUGCGUCACGGCUGCUCGACUCUCAAAGAUAAAAAAAAUGAUAGAAAAGAUUAUCAUCUGAUUAUUCGAUUAUCAUUGUUAUAAUCACAUUAAUAUUAUUCAAGAUUGACCUUUGAGCUUCAUACUACAAAUAUUAGCCAUGUUGAUUGUUUUAAUUGUUCGUUAUUUGAAGUAAUCGCGAGAAAAUAUCUUAAUAAAAGUUUGAUCAAAAUUGUGAGACAAUAUUUUUAGUAAAUAUUUAUUUUAUCUGAUUUUUAUAUAUAAAAAGUGUAUAUAAAACGCUAAUUUAAU